GCCUACGGCCAUACCACCCUGAGAACGCCCCGAUCUCGUCUGAUCUCGGAAGCUAAGCAGGGUCGGGCCCGGUUAGUACUUGGAUGGGAGACCGCCUGGGAAUACCGGGUGCUGUAGGCU
ensembl:rRNA 5S_rRNA 5S ribosomal RNA